rnacentral:misc_RNA from 1 species
UCUCCGUAGGUGAACCUGCGGAGGGAUCAUUACAGAGUUCUCGCCCUCGCGGGUAGAUCUCCCACCCACUGUUAUCGUUACUGUGUUGCUUUGGCGGGCCGCCGGGCCCCGCUCGGCCGCCGGCUCCGGCUGGCGCGCGCCCGCCAGAGGCCCAGCAAGCUCUGAGUGUUAGUGUCGUCUGAGUACUAUAUAAUAGUUAAAACUUUCAACAACGGAUCUCUUGGUUCUG